UGCCAUGAAUGCAUGCCAUUGGGAUGGUUUUGUCCAUCCUGCGACAUUCAUAUCCAUCAGCAAAGAUUUUCUUUGCACAAUCGACAAACCACCUUUGAAGGUUUUUAUAAAUCUAUUCCACCUUCUGAGGCAGUGACUCUUGAUGACGGCACUUACACCAUCUUUGAACAAGCUAGUUUCCUUCCGGUUGUGUUACCACCAAGAUGUUGCCAAGACAGCGAUGUGACACUCUCUGCUGGCACACCAAUAAUCCUCAUUAACAUAAAUGGUCGUUUUGAGCUUCACAGACCAGUUGUCACAUGUACCAACUGUGGUAAUCGUUGGACCCCAGAGGUUUCUGAUUUGGUCAGAAGUGGGUACUGGCCUUCAACAAUGCAGGCACAGACAUUGUAUCAGCAGGACUUGUUUGAGUCCUUUAAAGAAAUGAAGACAAACUGCGCCAGGAAUGUCCAGACAGGCUUUCACAUCAAUGCUGGAUCAAAGAACUAAGUACUUUGGAAGAGUGAGUUUAUAACUUUAAUAACUUUCAAUAACAUUUUUAAGGUUUUUAUUUUCAUCACCUGUCAAUAAUUUGCAUGUUUAAAAAUGUCAGAUGAGUACUGAUGUUUUUAUAUAAAGGACAAUGUUUCUUCUUAUUUGUUGUAGAAAGGGAACGUGAAUUCUGAUGCAUUUCAAAGAAGCUUUUUGCAGUAUAUUUACUGUAAAUUUGAGGAGGGGCAGCUAAGUGGCAUGGAGGACUGGUUUGUGUGUCCAGCUUGUGUUCCAGACCAGUUAGUUGUUUCUCUUGAUGGCAACAGAAAAUUGUACCGUUUCCAAACUUUCAACAGGUGUGUUUAAUUCAUUUUUUUUUCAUAUCACUCUUGUAAACUAAAUGGCUUCUUCUUCUUUUGUUUUUUUUUUUCUCAGACAGGACCAGGCUGCGUUUUUUGAUGGUGUCUUUUUAGCAGAAGACUCUGAGGUUGAAGCUUUUGUUGCAGAAGUACGUCGUGUUGUGAAAAGUGUAUGUACAUUUUUUUAACUUGUAAAUUCACAACUGAUAUUUUUUUGUUUUUUUUAAAGGAAGCUUUGAGUUAAGAAAGUCCAAAUUUCAAUGUAAAACAAAAGAAAGCAAUUUUAUUUUUUUCAAACUUUAUGUAUUGUCUUUUAUGUACACAAUUUCAAAGUUUGCAGUCAAAUUAUCUCAUUUAUGUCUAUCAGACUGGUGGAAAAGCCUCCUGUGGAAACUCACAAUGGUCUGCUGCACGAGAGACAUCAAAGCAAGCCAACAAGCUUGAUGAGGAAGGUGUGGAGAUAGCUGUUUGCCGACAUGGCUUCCUUCUGAAAGGGCUCAACAUGUUUCGUGGUGAAAUCUUUGCAUAUCCCAUGUUCCCGCAAAAAGACUUUCAAACUGCAACCUUUUUUGCCAUGGAUGUCACAUGCAGAUAUGUACCAUACCUCCAAACGGUUACAAAUGCUUUGCAUCAUCUAAGCCCUUCCUGUCAGUAAUGCAUGCCAGAGCUCAUUGUGCAAAAUGUGAGGUAACUGUUUUAAUUACUCUGGUGGUACAAUUAUUUUGAUAAAGACAAGACAAAAUGGUCUGUUUAUGUUCAUAUUUUUAAUCCUAAUUUCUAUUUUUUUUGUGUGUGUGUCUAAAUAGAUCAAAUGGAGCACAAGGAACCAGGAAGGAGUUGGCACCACUCUUGGUGAAGAGGUCGAGCAGGUCAACAGUUUUCUGUCUAGGUGUGCUUUGACCACCAAGUACAUGAGCAAACCAGGUUUGUAUAA